GGGGAGAGACUUAGAAUCCCCUUCGGGCAUUGUGUAAAUAGCGCCGCCUUUGGCCAGACGUCGCGGUUUGAGAAUC
rnacentral:ncRNA from 1 species